rnacentral:rRNA from 1 species
UACAGAGGUCUCAAGCGUUGUUCGGAUUCAUUGGGCGUAAAGGGUGCGUAGGCGGCGCGGUAAGUCGGGUGUGAAAUCUCGGAGCUUAACUCCGAAACUGCAUUCGAUACUGCUGUGCUUGAGGACUGGAGAGGAGACUGGAAUUUACGGUGUAGCAGUGAAAUGCGUAGAGAUCGUAAGGAAGACCAGUGGCGAAGGCGGGUCUCUGGACAGUUCCUGACACUGAGGCACGAAGGCCAGGGGAGCAAACGGG